rnacentral:rRNA from 1 species
GACGAACGCUGGCGGCGUGCCUAAUACAUGCAAGUCGAACGCAGUGGGGACGGGUGAGUAACACGUGGGUAACCUCCCAUCAGAGGGGAUAACACUUGGAAACAGGUGCUAAACCGAUACUGGAUGAUGGACCCGCGGUGCAUUCGCUAGUUGGUGGGGUAACGGCUCACCAAGGCUACGAUGCAUAGCUGACCGGAGAGGGUGAUCAGCCACACUGGGACGGAGACACGGCCCAGACUCCUACGGGAGGCAGCAGUAGGGAAUAUUCGGCAAUGGACGAAAGUCUGACCGAGCAACGCCGCGUGAGUGAAGAAGGUUUUCGGAUCGUAAAACUCUGUUGUCAGAGAAGCGGUAUCUAACCAGAAAGCACCGGCUAACUACGUGCCAGCCGCCGCGGUAAUAC